GAUGAACGCUGGCGGCGUGCCUAAUACAUGCAAGUCGAGCGAACAGACGAGGAGCUUGCUCCUUUGACGUUAGCGGCGGACGGGUGAGUAACACGUGGGGAACCUACCUAUAAGACUGGGAUAACUUCGGGAAACCGGAGCUAAUACCGGAUAAUAUUUCGAACCGCAUGGUUCGAUAGUGAAAGAUGGCUUUGCUAUCACUUAUAGAUGGACCUGCGCCGUAUUAGCUAGUUAGUAAGGUAACGGCUUACCAAGGCAACGAUACGUAGCCGACCUGAGAGGGUGAUCGGCCACACUGGAACUGAGACACGGUCCAGACUCCUACGGGAGGCAGCAGUAGGGAAUCUUCCGCAAUGGGCGAAAGCCUGACGGAGCAACGCCGCGUGAGUGAUGAAGGUCUUCGGAUCGUAAAACUCUGUUAUUAGGGAAGAAUAAACGUGUAAGUAACUGUGCACGUCUUGACGGUACCUAAUCAGAAAGCCACGGCUAACUACGUG
rnacentral:rRNA from 1 species